ACAGCAGUAUCUUCUCUAUUGCAUUAUAUCCUUCGAGCCACAGUUUACACUGUGCUUAACUCUACCGGGAGCAAUUGUCUGAACAGUUAAGAUGAAAAGUGGAGAGUGUAGUAAACAGAGAGCUCUUUUUUCCUAAGAGUUGAAAUUGACGUCAGCUGUCAGGUGGGCGCCCCUCCUCCACUGGGGUAACUGCUUUGCCUUACAACGUUUCAGCCUCAGACUUUGGAAGUAGGUGAGGCCACAGCACCAGGGGCCACCCUUUCUGGGGGGAGCGGGACGAGCUCCCUGUAGCUUUCAUGCUUCCUGCCCACCGCUCCAUCACGGAGAAACAGGAGCUGGAGGGAUGGGAGAUUCUCACUCGGCCCCACACAGAGCCAGGGGUCACAGCCUCAUCGGCUAUGAUGCUGAACAUGAAACAGUUUCAGAUAAGACCACAUCCCACGUCAGCAUCCCAGACGCAAAAGUGGCCAGAGCACCACACUUCCAACACUCAGAGCGAAAAAGGAAUUGCAACUCGUAUAUUCUCUGGGAAUCUUCUUUUCCUCCUUCUGCAGGUCCACCCCAGGAUUUUUGAAGCCAUGGCUUCCCUUCUGGGGUUGGUCUCCAGGAGACACCGGGACACGUAAAUGGUACUCAGAGAAGCUCAAGGCCUGACCCAGAGGACAGAGGAAUGGAAUUCAGGACCUCACACUUGCCAGGCCAGCACUGUGCCACUGAGCUAUGACCUUGGCCCUUAAAAACUUUUAAAUGACAGGAAAGUUGCAAGGAUAACGCAGAGUCCCAUGGGCCCACAUCCUGGCUUCACUGAGGUUAAUACUUACCUUACCCUGGCACCUCUGUCACAGUGAUCCAUCAGAAUUGCAGAAGGAGACUUUCUUCCUCAGUGGGUCUGGCGGGGAUUGCAACUGAGCCCGAGUAGCAGGAACGAUUGGGAUGCACAUCAGCCUGACGGUAGUGCACUAGACAAUCAGCUCUUUCUCAGAAGAUCCCAGACACACUGCUGAUGAAUCUUUACGACAUCUCUGAGUGACGGACGGACCGACAUGGGAGAAUUGUGAUUACCCCUAAUUCACUGAACGGCACCAACUCUGAAGUCAAAGGUGGAACCACUGAGCCAGCAGCCCGCCUAGUUUCCGGGCAGCCUGUAUGUGAUCUGUGACAAUGAGGACUCAGCCCUGCAAACACACACAUUCCUGCAAAUGCUGCGUUUAAAGUUACACUUUACGCUUGGGUCUUUUCUGUCUAAAAUUGCACAACCGCUUCUCUAAAUGGUGUCGGUCCCCAAGUCUCCUCUUCCCUUUUCUGACCCACUUGACACAGCCCUUCCUAGACGAACUGCGCAAUGUUUACCCAGAAGCCCCUGUGCAGUUCUCCUGCUGUGUCGGCUUCUGGGGUGACCUCAAGCAGAUUCGAUUCUCCGGGACUAAAUCUCCCUCUCUCUCAAAUGAGGAAAAGGAAAAUACCCUGCUCUCAUGGGGAAGACGUGAGACAGUAAAUCUUCAUUAUAGGCCACUGCCAAUCACUCAUUUGUCACUGCAGAUGGGAGAGAGGUACAUUGCAGAAAAUUAGAAAAUCACAGACAAGCAAAGCUUUGAUAAAUCUCACAUUUUACCAAGUAGAGACUCCGCAUUGUUAACUCCUUGGCACACAUGACUUUGUGUAUAUGUGUGUAUGUGUGCAUGUAAAAUAGAAUGUGUACAAUAGAAAUAGACUCAAGUAAAAUUGCAAAGUACAAA